rnacentral:rRNA from 1 species
CCUACGGGAGGCAGCAGUGGGGAAUAUUGCACAAUGGGGGAAACCCUGAUGCAGCGACGCCGCGUGAGUGAUGAAGUAUUUCGGUAUGUAAAGCUCUAUCAGCCGGGAAGAAAAUGACGGUACCUGAUUCAGAAGCCCCGGCUAACUACGUGACAGCAGCCGCGGUACUACGUAGGGGGCAAGCGUUAUCCGGAUUUACUGGGUGUAAAGGGAGCGUAGACGGCAGCGCAAGUCUGAAGUGAAAUGCCGGGGCUUAACCCCGGAACUGCUGUGGAAACUGUGCGGCUAGAGUGCAGGAGAGGUAAGUGGAAUUCCGAGUGUAGCGGUGAAAUGCGUAGAUAUUAGGAGGAACACCAGUGGCGAAGGCGGCUUACUGGACUGUAACUGACGUUGAGGCUCGAAAGCGUGGGGAGCAAACAGGAUUAGAUACCCCUGUAGUC